rnacentral:rRNA from 1 species
GACGAACGCUGGCGGCGUGCUUAACACAUGCAAGUCGAACGGGCCUUGUCCCCUUUUUUUUGGGGGUGGGGUUAGUGGCGAACGGGUGAGUAACACGUGAGUAACCUGCCCCUCACUUCUGGAUAACCGCUUGAAGGGGUGGCUAAUACGGGGUGUUCUGGCCUGCUCGCAUGGGUGGGUUUGGAAAGAUUCGACCGGUUUUGGUUGUUUUGGUGGGGGAUGGGCUCGCGGCCUAUCAGCUUGUUGGUGGGGUGAUGGCCUGCCAAGGCUUUGACGGGUAGCCGGCCUGAGAGGGUGGGCGGUCACACUGGGACUGAGACACGGCCCAGACUCCUACGGGAGGCAGCAGUGGGGAAUAUUGCACAAUGGGCGCAAGCCUGAUGCAGCGACGCCGCGUGAGGGAUGGAGGCCGUCGGGUUGGGAACCUCUUUCGCCAGUGAAGAAGGUCCUGCUCUUUGUGGUGGGGUUGACGGUGGCUGGGUUAAUGAAGCGCCGGCUAACUACGUG